rnacentral:rRNA from 1 species
AGGCCUAACACAUGCAAGUCGAACGGUAACAGGAAGCAGCUUGCUGCUUCGCUGACGAGUGGCGGACGGGUGAGUAAUGUCUGGGAAACUGCCUGAUGGAGGGGGAUAACUACUGGAAACGGUAGCUAAUACCGCAUAACGUCGCAAGACCAAAGAGGGGGACCUUCGGGCCUCUUGCCAUCGGAUGUGCCCAGAUGGGAUUAGCUAGUAGGUGGGGUAACGGCUCACCUAGGCGACGAUCCCUAGCUGGUCUGAGAGGAUGACCAGCCACACUGGAACUGAGACACGGUCCAGACUCCUACGGGAGGCAGCAGUGGGGAAUAUUGCACAAUGGGCGCAAGCCUGAUGCAGCCAUGCCGCGUGUAUGAAGAAGGCCUUCGGGUUGUAAAGUACUUUCAGCGGGGAGGAAGGG